AUGAUCACCGCGGCGGACCUCUACCACGUGCUCACGGCCGUCGUGCCGCUCUACGUCGCCAUGACGCUCGCCUACGGCUCCGUGCGCUGGUGGCGCAUCUUCACCCCCGACCAGUGCUCCGGGAUCAACCGCUUCGUCGCGCUCUUCGCCGUCCCGCUCCUCUCCUUCCACUUCAUCUCCUCCAACGACCCCUUCGCCAUGAACCUCCGCUUCCUCGCCGCCGACACGCUGCAGAAGCUCGCCGUCCUCGCGCUCCUCGGCCUCUGGUGCCGCCUCCGUAACGGCUCCCUCGACUGGCUCAUCACCCUCUUCUCCCUCUCCACGCUCCCCAACACGCUCGUCAUGGGCAUCCCGCUGCUCCGGGGCAUGUACGGCCCAGCCAGCGCCGGCACCCUCAUGGUGCAGAUCGUCGUGCUCCAGUGCAUCAUCUGGUACACCCUCAUGCUCUUCCUCUUCGAGUACCGCGGCGCCAAGAUGCUCGUCAUGGAGCAGUUCCCCGACACCGCCGCCGACAUCGUCUCCUUCCGCGUCGACUCCGACGUCGUCUCCCUCGCCGCCGGAGGCGGGGCCGACCUGCAGGCGGAGGCCGAGGUCGGGGAGGACGGCAGGAUGCGGGUCACCGUGCGCAAGUCCACCAGCUCCCGCUCCGAGGCCGCCUGCUCCCACUCGCACUCCCACUCCCACUCGCAGUCCAUGCAGCCGCGCGUCUCCAACCUCUCCGGCGUCGAGAUAUACUCGCUGCAGUCGUCCAGGAACCCCACGCCGCGGGGCUCCAGCUUCAACCACGCCGAGUUCUUCAACAUCGUCGGCGGCGCCAAGGGGGACGAGGAGAAGGGCUCCGCCGGGGCUGGCAACGGCACCGGCGGCCACUCGCCCCAGCCGCUGCCGCAGGCAUUGGCCGGGAAGCGCAAGGACCUGCACAUGUUCGUCUGGAGCUCCAGCGCCUCGCCGGUCUCUGAGCGCGCUGCAGGCGGUGCCAUGCAUGUCUUCGGCGGUGGCGCCGACCAUGGCGACGUCCUCGCCAAAGGUGCUCAGGCCUACGACGAGUACGGCCGCGGCGGCGGCGACGACUUCAGCUUCAGGAACAAGAACGGCGGCGUGGCGAACGUGGACGGGCCGACGCUGGCCAAGCUGGGGUCCAACUCGACCGCGCAGCUGCACCCCAAGGACGACGGCGAGGAGAGGGCGGCCGCGAUGCCGCCGGCGAGCGUGAUGACGAGGCUCAUCCUGAUCAUGGUGUGGAGGAAGCUGAUCAGGAACCCAAACACCUACUCCAGCCUCAUCGGCGUCGUCUGGUCCCUCGUCUCCUACAGGUGGGGGAUUGAGAUGCCGGCGAUCAUCGCCAAGUCGAUUUCGAUCUUGUCGGAUGCAGGGCUUGGGAUGGCCAUGUUCAGCCUAGGGUUGUUCAUGGCGUUGCAGCCCCGGAUCAUCGCCUGCGGGAACAAGCUGGCGUCGUACGCGAUGGCUGUGAGGUUCCUGGUCGGCCCAGCGGUGAUGGCCGCCGCCUCUCUGGCUGUUGGGUUGCGCGGGGUUCUUCUGCACAUCGCCAUUGUUCAGGCUGCUCUUCCGCAAGGAAUCGUGCCCUUCGUGUUCGCCAAGGAGUACAACGUACAUCCCAACAUUCUCAGCACAGCCGUGAUCUUCGGGAUGCUGAUCGCCCUCCCCAUCACACUGGUCUACUACAUACUGCUGGGCCUCUGA
rnacentral:rRNA from 1 species